CCAAAGGCUCUCCUGAGAGCCAUACGUUCUUUCUUCGGUGAGGUG
rfam:Pelodiscus sinensis unplaced genomic scaffold scaffold422, whole genome shotgun sequence.